AGAGUUUGAUCAUGGCUCAGAUUGAACGCUGGCGGCAGGCCUAACACAUGCAAGUCGAACGGUAACAGGAAACAGCUUGCUUCUUCGCUGACGAGUGGCGGACGGGUGAGUAAUGUCUGGGAAACUGCCUGAUGGAGGGGGAUAACUACUGGAAACGGUAGCUAAUACCGCAUAACGUCGCAAGACCAAAGAGGGGGACCUUCGGGCCUCUUGCCAUCGGAUGUGCCCAGAUGGGAUUAGCUUGUUGGUGGGGUAACGGCUCACCAAGGCGACGAUCCCUAGCUGGUCUGAGAGGAUGACCAGCCACACUGGAACUGAGACACGGUCCAGACUCCUACGGGAGGCAGCAGUGGGGAAUAUUGCACAAUGGGCGCAAGCCUGAUGCAGCCAUGCCGCGUGUAUGAAGAAGGCCUUCGGGUUGUAAAGUACUUUCAGCGGGGAGGAAGGGAGUAAAGUUAAUACCUUUGCUCAUUGACGUUACCCGCAGAAGAAGCACCGGCUAACUCCGUGCCAGCAGCCGCGGUAAUACGGAGGGUGCAAGCGUUAAUCGGAAUUACUGGGCGUAAAGCGCACGCAGGCGGUUUGUUAAGUCAGAUGUGAAAUCCCCGGGCUCAACCUGGGAACUGCAUCUGAUACUGGCAAGCUUGAGUCUCGUAGAGGGGGGUAGAAUUCCAGGUGUAGCGGUGAAAUGCGUAGAGAUCUGGAGGAAUACCGGUGGCGAAGGCGGCCCCCUGGACGAAGACUGACGCUCAGGUGCGAAAGCGUGGGGAGCAAACAGGAUUAGAUACCCUGGUAGUCCACGCCGUAAACGAUGUCGACUUGGAGGUUGUGCCCUUGAGGCGUGGCUUCCGGAGCUAACGCGUUAAGUCGACCGCCUGGGGAGUACGGCCGCAAGGUUAAAACUCAAAUGAAUUGACGGGGGCCCGCACAAGCGGUGGAGCAUGUGGUUUAAUUCGAUGCAACGCGAAGAACCUUACCUGGUCUUGACAUCCACGGAAGUUUUCAGAGAUGAGAAUGUGCCUUCGGGAACCGUGAGACAGGUGCUGCAUGGCUGUCGUCAGCUCGUGUUGUGAAAUGUUGGGUUAAGUCCCGCAACGAGCGCAACCCUUAUCCUUUGUUGCCAGCGGUCCGGCCGGGAACUCAAAGGAGACUGCCAGUGAUAAACUGGAGGAAGGUGGGGAUGACGUCAAGUCAUCAUGGCCCUUACGACCAGGGCUACACACGUGCUACAAUGGCGCAUACAAAGAGAAGCGACCUCGCGAGAGCAAGCGGACCUCAUAAAGUGCGUCGUAGUCCGGAUUGGAGUCUGCAACUCGACUCCAUGAAGUCGGAAUCGCUAGUAAUCGUGGAUCAGAAUGCCACGGUGAAUACGUUCCCGGGCCUUGUACACACCGCCCGUCACACCAUGGGAGUGGGUUGCAAAAGAAGUAGGUAGCUUAACCUUCGGGAGGGCGCUUACCACUUUGUGAUUCAUGACUGGGGUGAAGUCGUAACAAGGUAACCGUAGGGGAACCUGCGGUUGGAUCACCU
rnacentral:rRNA from 1 species